GACGAGGGGUCCUAGCGUUGUUCGGAAUCACUGGGCGUAAAGCGUAUGUAGGCGGCUUUUCAAGUCAGGUGUGAAAUCCCAUGGCUUAACCAUGGAAUUGCAUUUGAAACUGUAAAGCUUGAGUAUUGGAGAGGAUGGUAGAAUUCCUGGUGUAGUGGUGAAAUACGUAGAUAUCGGGAGGAACACCAGUGGCGAAGGCGGCUUCCUGGCCUGUUCUUGACGCUGAGGCGCGAAAGCUAGGGGAGCAAACGGG
rnacentral:rRNA from 1 species